GGCAAAGAAACCAGAUUCCAUUCAAACAUGAUGCCUUAGAGGACGUCCUUGUUCUCCUCAACACACAAUUCCAUUUGUGACUAGAAACAUCCUAGCCCCUGCAGCUGAGAGCUGGUAGGCCCUACAGCACCAUGGCGGGUGGCCUUGAAGUCUUCCAGCACUUGGAGGAGGUACCACUGGCAUACUGAAGGCAGAAGCCUGCAAUGCUGUAACCCAAAGCGGCCUUGUACCAGCACAGCGGAAUCACUGGAGCGGCGUGAAGAGGUGUGAGUUCUGGAGCAUCUGAUCAGCAACAUUGUAAGCGAGCGAGGGCUGUUGUUUAUUCUAGGUGAAGCUGUUGCUGCAUGCUGACUACUUCAGUUCACUGGUGACUAGCAACAGCAGGAAUGUAUGAGCUCCGUUCCACAAUUACUAAAACCACACAGGCAACUUUAAUAUA